rnacentral:rRNA from 1 species
UACGAAGGGGGCUAGCGUUGCUCGGAAUUACUGGGCGUAAAGCGCACGUAGGCGGAUUGUUAAGUCGGGGGUGAAAUCCUGGAGCUCAACUCCAGAACUGCCUUCGAUACUGGCGAUCUCGAGUCCGGAAGAGGUGAGUGGAACUCCGAGUGUAGAGGUGAAAUUCGUAGAUAUUCGGAAGAACACCAGUGGCGAAGGCGGCUCACUGGUCCGGUACUGACGCUGAGGUGCGAAAGCGUGGGGAGCAAACAGG